UACAGAGGGGCAAGCGUUGUUCGGAAUUACUGGGCGUAAAGGGCGCGUAGGCGGCCUUCUAAGUCGAACGUGAAAUCCCCGGGCUCAACCCGGGAACUGGCGUCCGAUACUGGCAGGCUUGAAUUCGGGAGAGGGAUGCGGAAUUCCAGGUGUAGCGGUGAAAUGCGUAGAUAUCUGGAGGAACACCGGUGGCGAAGGCGGCAUCCUGGACCGAAAU
rnacentral:rRNA from 1 species